CCAGGUCUUGACAUCUUCUGACAACCCUAGAGAUAGGGCUUCUCCUUCGGGAGCAGAGUGACAGGUGGUGCAUGGUUGUCGUCAGCUCGNGUCGUGAGAUGUUGGGUUAAGUCCCGCAACGAGCGCAACCCUUGAUUUUAGUUGCCAUCAUUUAGUUGGGCACUCUAAGGUGACUGCCGGUGACAAACCGGAGGAAGGUGGGGAUGACGUCAAAUCAUCAUGCCCCUUAUGACCUGGGCUACACACGUGCUACAAUGGACGGUACAAAGAGCUGCAAGACCGCGAGGUGGAGCUAAUCUCAUAAAACCGUUCUCAGUUCGGAUUGUAGGCUGCAACUCGCCUACAUGAAGCUGGAAUCGCUAGUAAUCGCGGAUCAGCAUGCCGCGGUGAAUACGUUCCCGGGCCUUGUACACA
rnacentral:rRNA from 1 species